UGGACUUUCUGCAGUGAUGUGGUCUAAAUAAGGCAAGUGUUUGCUACUAUAUCAGCCUGAGACGAGGUUCGAAUCCACGAUCGUCUGAGUGCGAGUUUGAGACCCGUGUUUUCCAUACACGAAAUUUUAUUUUCGGUCAGUAAAGAGUAAACAGGAAUUAAAGUGUCUUUUCAUUUGUAAAGAAAGUUGAAAUACAAGAAGUACUUAGCUUUCCAUAAGUGGCUUUGUUGUAUGGAAGAACUGGUAAGAAACCCAGGAAAAACAAGAUGGUAACUUAUUUCAUUGUAUUAACAGGAAGAAUUUUUAGUAUAUGGAACCACAGUUGCCUUAGGACUGCCUUGUUGGUACUGUCUAGAUUCCGAUGUACCCUAUCGAUGCCGGUCAUCAGAGGUGUGCUGGACCCCUUAUGUCAACUAUUUUCAACACGCACUGUACGAUGGACAAGAGAGAGUGGUUUUAGUGGAAUUCAAGUCUUGAUGGAUAUAUCGUCUGUAUUUGCACUGUCGUACUGAUAGUAGAGCACUUUUCCACGCCACAUGCAGAAUAUCCUUUAAGGU
rnacentral:lncRNA from 1 species